AGGUCACGGCGAGACGAGCCGUUUAUCAUUACGAUAGGUGUCAAGUGGAAGUGCAGUGAUGUAUGCAGCUGAGGCAUCCUAACAGAUCGAUUGAUUUGAACCU
rnacentral:rRNA from 1 species